GGCCUUCUAUCAGAAAAAGAGUUGCAAUGAAUAUAGAAUGAUAUCGGAUGAGACGAGUGCCAACUUCUUUGACAAGUAUUUGCACAUGUUUUUAGUAAUCGUUCUUGUUUUGGGAAAAUAAUGAGACAUCUAUUAUCAUCAACCUACGACUAAAUCAUUUCUUAAAACAACAAUUAUGUUUAGAUUGAGGUACACAUUGAUAUUAUGUGAACAAAACAAAGAUUUUCGUUACCGUGUGAGGUCAAAAUCGAUCA
rnacentral:lncRNA from 1 species